UAGACGGUUAGGGAGGGGGAGAGAGAGGUAAGAGGAGUGGUGAGAGGAGGAUUGCAUAACUAAACGUUACACACGAGAUAAGGUGCGAGAGGGUGCAGAAGAAAAGAAAGGGGAUUACACACCUACUUUUGCUAGUAAUAAGUAUUCAUUUGGACGAAUUCGUCAUAACUGUUGGUGUUGUUCUCCUUACCCUUGUAAUAGAAGCAAUAUCUAACACGCCACAUUCUCAGCCAGUGCAGGUUUAUGACCCAUUGCCCCCACGAAAUAGUUAGCUUUACUGAAUGAUUAAAACCAAGACCUUUCACGUGAAAGAAUCUGCAAUACAUUUAAUGAAUACCAUUCAGUUAUCUUAAGAAAGUUUCCCGUGUUUAUACCAGUGGACGCGCAAUGGCCCAGUGGUUAGGGCAGCAGACUCGUGGUCGUAGGGUCGCUGAUUCGAUUCGCAGCCCGGGCGUUAUGUGUGUUCAUUGAGCGAAAACACCUAAAGUUUCACAAGGUUCGCGCAGGAGAUAGUGGUGAACCCUGCUGUGAUCUUUCACCACAAAUUUCUCUCACUCUGUCUUCCUGUUUCUGUUGUACUUGUAUUUCAAAGGGCCAGCCCUGUCACAAUCUGUGUCACGCUGAAUCUCCUCAAGAACUACGUUAAGGGUAUACGUGUCUUUGGAUUGUUCAGCCACUUGGACGUUAAUUUCAGGAGCAGGCUGUUCUGUUGAUCGGAUCAACUGGAACCCUCGUUGUAACCGACGGAGUGCCAACCAAUUUAUACCACAACUAGUCACUGCUUAAAAGGAUCUACUGAAGCAACAGAAUGCGUGAGAUUUUGGGCACAAUCUCAUCUACUACAGCUUCGGGCCGACCCAGAAAAUAUCCAAUAUGUCACUCCGUUCGAAGAUAUGAGCCUGUUUGAAAGUAUGUUUAAAAUAUAAAGGGAAUUUAGUAGCAUUUUCAUACAGAUCGAGAAAAUAUUUAUGCUGUAUUUUUAGAUCGUUGUGAGGUUUAAAUUUUGGAUUUCAUUAUAUUUCCUUCGGCGUUAAAACUAGUGAUUAUUUCUUAAACGUUUACGGAUUAGCAUAUGAAUUAACUAGAUUUGUGGGGAGCACAUUCCUUCAGAGUAUUUACUGAUUUUCUUGGUGAUUGUUAGGUUAAAUAUUUAGUGAUUUUCCUAAUAGGUGCUGAUUGCUUGAGUGCGCCCUGCAGUCAUUCUUCAUUGGUAUACAGUAAAAUGUUUCUUUCGAUAAAUAUUUCCUAAUUUGAUGUGAUGCAGUUUUCCAUGAAUAUUUUCUGCUGUUGCUAAUGUUGGUUUCGACAAGUAUUUCCUUCAUUUUGGGGUGAUGUGUUGAAAUAUGGAUUUUAAAAUUCAUAGUUAGAUUUUGUCCAAAUUACCGGUUUUCAUAAUAAAAACAUACGUUUUGUGGUAAUUUGUUUCUCUCAGAAGUAUUCCCCUAUUUUAGGGAACAUAAAUACUUAUAACUAAGUAUUUAUGUAUUUGGGCUUAUUGCAGGUUUUCAUUAUUAUUUAUUGAUUUUAUAGGGUUUAUUAGAUUUGGAAUAGUGAUUUUGUGAGAAGUGUUUCGGCUUGUUACUUUCCUAUAUAUUUAUAUGCUUAUUUGAGGGAAAUGCUAGUUUUCAUAUGCAUGACUUGGCUUUGUUUGGAUUUCCUGAUUAUAUAAAGUCCCGUUCUGCAGUAGAUUUUGCUGGUAUUUCUUGAUGCUAGUUAUUGUAUACGGUAAUCAUUGUUCCAUGAGAAUUGCAAAUACAAAUUUGCUUAUGGAGUAUGAUGCGUAGGCGCCUAUGAUUGGUAAAGUAUAUUGAUAAUCUUUUAAAACUCAUUGAGGUUCAAUAGUUUAUAUUUAAUAUCUCUCUCUCUCUCUCUCUCUCUCUCUCUCUCUCUCUCUCUCUUUCUCUCGCUCUCUCUCCAUAUCUAUGCAUCUAUCUAUCCUUAUCCGUAUAUACAUUAUACCUUAAACCUUUGCCGAACCGCGAAGUGACGGUGAGGUAAACACUAACAGCUGUUGUCAAAUGAUAGUGAAUGUGAACAAACACAUACAGAGAACACAG